rnacentral:lncRNA from 1 species
ACCCCCACCAAAGUGCUGGACUGGGUUCUUAAAGGGGCCACCUGAAGCAGGACUUUUUCCCACACUGAAGUCACCAACUGACAGCAGAAACAGGUCCCCCAUCUUUGGGAUAUCUCCCAGUUCUGCUCCCAGUAGAAUGUCUAAGAAAUCUUUGAUGACCAGUGCAAUCUGUGGAGGUUAUACACUUGGAGGAAGGGACAGCACACGCUGAUGGUUUGCAGUGGUGGGAAGACCAUCUGAUCCAGAGGCAGGAAGAUAAGUAAAAUGACUUCUUAGAGCCCCUUCCUGCUUUCCCAGCUCCCCUCCCCCAUCUCAAGCAUCUGAUCCCAGACCUAUUUCAGAAUCUCCUAUCUCUUUGCUCAGUGGAAGCAGUGAUAUGACAUGAUGUGAUCUCAUUUGAGGGCUAAAUAAAGCCAUUGUGUGAGACCC